AGUGGUAUACUGCUUUCAGAGGAGCUUAAGUUCUUCUCCAUUUUCUUAAUCCAUCGAAUCCAAGUAUAAACUCAUGUUUGACCAAAAUGCGUGAGCUCAUUCUUCUGAAGUUAAAUCUCUGAUCAGUAAGUCUGGGUAUAGCUUGCUUGGAGCGGUAUACUGCUUUCACUGGAGCCAGCGCGAUUUGUGGAACUUUAUAGACUGGUAAUUGACAUAAAAAGGUUGACUCAGCUAUCCUCUCCCUUUGAUCAUAUACUGCACAAGUGGGUUAAGACUGCGAUUUGUGGAACUUAAAGCUAGACUGGCAAUUGAAGUGAAAAAAAAUUGACCCAGCUUUCCUCUCCCUCUGGCAUGGUGGUUCAGUCAGCAACGAUGGCGAUAAUAACAAGCGCAGCAGCGGCGGUAGGUGCUGGUGGAUUUUUUCUUAAGUUAUACGACGAAUUAAGAGGCUUGAUGGGUCCUUCAACUAAGGAAGUAUAUGACUAUGCGGAUAAGAUGGAAGCGAAUCUUCGACAGAUGGAAUGCACAGCUGAUGAUCUGUAUCUAAUGAGACUUGAAGCAUUGAACUAUUAUGAGCGUACCCCACGAAGCAAAGGGUGGAUUGAUAAAGUCAAUAAACUUAAAGGAUCGGUGAAUGAACUGAAAUCCAAGUAUCCGUCUGCAGAAAAAGGAAAAGAAGUUGGAAGUAUUUGGCAGUGUUGGGCAUUUAGCAAAGCCCUGGAAACGAUGCAUGUAGAACUACAACAUCAUGUGCAAAAGUGGAGUGAAAUAGAAAAAUCGUUGGAGAAAAUACCAGCUAUUAGUAAAGUACAGGCGCCAAAAAUAGAAGAUAAGCCAUCACUCUACAAAGUUUUUAAAAAUAUUACAGAAUAUUUUAAGGAUAAAGAAGUAAAAAAUAUUGGGCUUUGUGGGAUGCCAGGAGUUGGAAAAACGGCAAUCAUGCAAAAUUUGAACAAUAGUGAACAAGCUGAAGACUUCGAUAUUGUCAUUUUUGCUACUCUACCUGACGAAAGGAGCCGAGAAAAGUUGAACUUUGGAAAUGGAGAAUCAAUGCCUGAUGCUCUGAAAUUGGCAAUAGAAAAGUUGAGACAGGCAAUCGCAGCACGGCUCCACUUGAAAAUAGAAGAAGGUAUGGCCGACUUCCACAUAACAUCUAGAAUAUCAGAAAAGUUGAAAGACAAAAAGUGUUUGUUUCUUCUGGAUGAUGUUUGGCACCCAUUUAAGCUAAAUGAUAUUGGCAUCUGCAGCAACGAGGGCAACAAGGUGAUAUUGGCAUCACGGUAUAAGAAUACUUGUGAUGAUAUGAAUAUUCAUGCGAUUGUAAAGAUGGAACGACUGCCAGUGACAGAAGGGCUUAUACUGUUCAGAGAAAAACUGUGUCCAAUUGAUAAGCCUCCAGAAUUUGAUCAAGUAGCUGAGCCAGCAGUUGAACAUUGUGCUUCUUUGCCACUCUUAAUAGAAAAAGCAGCAGGGUGUUUCAAAAAGAAAGAUUCUGAGCACUGGCCGAAAAUUCUGGAUGAUUUUAAAAAAUGGCCUUAUGGUGACUACCAUCCCAUGGUUGAACUCCACAAUGAACUUAGAUUUUGUUAUGAAAGUUUGGAUAAUCAGCAUAAAAAAUGUUUUCUCUAUUGUGCAUUACACACAGAAGAUUCCGAAAUUUCCUCUAAUUAUUUGGUAGAAUGCUGCAAAGCCGAAAAAUUCGUUCCUAAUGUGGACAAGGGGCAUAUGAUAGUGGAUGAUCUAAUCAAUGCAUAUUUUCUGGAGAAAAAUGAGAUUAAGAAAUCCAUAAGGAUGAGCAAAGAGUUUCGAAGUAUGGCGUUGAAGGUCUUAUCAGAAUGGAAGGAUUUGAAAUUUUUGGUGAAAGCGGGUGUAUUAAAAGAGCGGCUAAGUGUUAAGGAAUGGGAAGAGGCGCAACGAAUCUCUUUGAUGGAUAACAGUCAUAUAUUGAGCUCUUUACCAGAAAAACCUAAUUGCACCAAUCUCUCAACACUGUUUCUACAAAGAAAUGUUGCUUUAAAAUCUAUUCCUGACGAUUUCUUUAAAUCCAUGCAAAAUCUCCUAGUUCUAGAUCUCCAUGGCAUCCAAGUCCAAAAGUUACCAUCUCCAUUUUGCUUGGAAAGUCUGGAAGUGCUUUACCUAAGUUGCUGUGACCAAUUGACGGAACUCCCCCGUGAAAUGAAACUUGAGAAUCUUGAGGUUCUUGACAUUCGAGGCACUGCUAUUCAUUAUCUCCCAAUCCAAAUUCUAAAUAUGAAAAAGUUGCGUUGCUUACGCAUCUCAUUUUCAAGGUUUGAUGAGAAAUCAAACGAGGAGGAAGAACAACAGGUUGUCAUCUCAGACCUCCCUUUGCUGCAAGAAUUGGUUAUUGAAGUGAAAAAUGAGUGCUGUCACAAUGUUAUGGAGCAUAUAAUGGAAGAGGUGGCUAAAUUGAGAAAUUUAACUUCUCUUUCAUUUCGCUUUCACAAUAAGGAAUCUUUCAAGACCUUUCUUCGUAACAGCAAAUUGUGGCAAGAUCCCCACUUCACAUUCCAAGUUUGUGUUGGUCAACAGGACUCAAUCAGGCGCUUUAAAUCUGCACGUGUUCAAAACAUAGAUAACGCAAUAAUAUCAAGCUUGGUUAUUGCAACUACCGAUGAUAGAUUUGAACUCAUCGGCCAUAAGGAUGCUUGGAACUUAUCAAAAUUUGGCAUUGAGAAUAUUAAUGAGUUGAAGUGCCUUAUAAUUGAAGGGGCCAAAAACAUUCGAGCGGUUAUCGAUGCUAAAGGAACUAGGGAAGGUGUGCUAAAACGCUUGAAGAGGAUUUACAUCAGCCAUGUCCUAAUGUUGGAAAGUAUAUUUUGGAAGGACCAUGUACCAGGAGGAAGCCUAGCAGAGCUUGCUGUUUUUCAUUUAACUAACUGCCCAAAUCUGAAGAAGAUAUUCUCCUCUGCCAUGAUUAAACAGCUUUCUAAUCUUCAACAUUUGCACAUUGAGAAUUGUCCUCAAAUUGAGCAGAUCAUUGUAGAAUCUGGGAAUGAUGGCUCGGAACAGUUAAUGCUUCCUAGUUUGAGAAAAUAUGAGCUACGGAACCUGCCAGAACUAAAAAGCUUUUGGAAGAAUGACUUGAUUUGUCCUCUUUUGAUUUCAGGCACGGUUCAGAAUUGUGAUAAGUUGGAACAUUUCAAUAACAUCUGAAAGAAUCGACCAACUGGGUACAGACACAAUUGUCAUUUCAAGCAGUCAACCAUAAGCUAAAACAGCAUGCUACAGACUGAUUAGCAAACAGGGCCUGUUUUCUUCCUUCAGGAUGCAUGUGUUUGAUAGGUCUCUAUUUGUUUGGCUUCUGUACUUCUCCAUGACAUAGCAAUGGUGUUUUUGUCCAGACUAUUUAUUGUUUUUUGGUUGUGUAAUGUCGACCUUGUACUGCUUGUUAGUACUGUGUGUGAUUGUGUGUAAUGUGAGUGUUCUGUUGUGAGACUGAAUCUUUUUUAUCACCGCUCAUCACAAUCGAACUCGUUCUUUAAAUAAUUGAUGUUUACAUUUUUCAUAUAUCUCAAUAACAUUAUGAGUUUUGC
rnacentral:misc_RNA from 1 species